rnacentral:rRNA from 1 species
UACGGAGGGUGCAAGCGUUAUCCGGAUUCACUGGGUUUAAAGGGUGCGUAGGUGGAGUGGUAAGUCAGUGGUGAAAUCUCCAAGCUUAACUUGGAAACUGCCGUUGAUACUUUCAUUCUUGAAUAUCGUGGAGGUAAGCGGAAUAUGUCAUGUAGCGGUGAAAUGCUUAGAUAUGACAUAGAACACCGAUUGCGAAGGCAGCUUGCUACACGAUCAUUGACACUGAGGCACGAAAGCGUGGGGAUCAAACAGG